rnacentral:rRNA from 1 species
UACAGAGGGGGCAAGCGUUGUUCGGAAUUACUGGGCGUAAAGGGCGCGUAGGCGGCCCGCUAAGUCGAACGUGAAAUCCCCGGGCUCAACCCGGGAACUGCGUCCGAUACUGGCAGGCUUGAAUCCGGGAGAGGGAUGCGGAAUUCCAGGUGUAGCGGUGAAAUGCGUAGAUAUCUGGAGGAAUACCGAUGGCGAAGGCAGCCCCCUGGGGCAAUACUGACGCUCAUGCACGAAAGCGUGGGGAGCAAACAGG